CUAAUACAUUGAGCGUGUUGCAGCAUUGGUUUAUUCCAGCUGGUGUUGUGUAAAACAUAUUUUACAAAGGAAUGGUACUCAAAAACGUGUUAUGCAACAGAAUAUGGCACGUCGGCAUAAUGUUUGAGCUUUUACUUGCUUUGGCAUUUUUUUAAUUGCUGUUAUUGCUUAUUAAAAAAAAAUGCAAUGCAGAGGCUGAGCCACCCUGAGAUUUGUCGACUCUGCAUGCAGACAUGUGCGACAGCAGCCUACGUGAAGCGAAAGGCUUGCAGAUUAAGCUAACCUCGAGGCGUCCCCCAAACAGCCUGGCGACAGUGCUGAUUGUGCUCGUUAGUUUAAAGUGUAAUUGGUCAUGGGCAGCCAGUGGCCUUCUCGCACGACAGACGUUUUUACUAUGAACAUCACGUUCCGACAGUUUUACGCGCGCCGCAGCCCGAAACGCAUCGCUCCUCUGUUUUAAGUCACGUGAAAAAUAAAAGAAACGGGAGCACGCCAGAGAAAUGGAUUUUUUUUCUCCCUUUCUUUUGGAGUGCGAUAGUGGCAUGUCAGGACAGCUCCCCAUGCGAGUGCAGAUCGACAUUCGAGUCGGGUUUCGUGUUACCUGCUCCAUUACUGUGCUAACAAGGCAGACAGGGUGGCACAAUGGACAUACCCUCCACCCACCCCCCCAUUGUCAGAAAGCCGAGGGGCCAGUCGUGUAAUAAGCUGCCGACAGCUCCAUCAGCAAGUGUGGGGCUCUGCCAUGUGACAAGCUGAUGAGCGGUCAGUGCAGGUUGGUGGAGGGAGACUCGGGAAAGGUUCAUACGUCACUCGGCACUGAUGAAUCAACCUCAAGUCUAUAUUUUUUACCAGACAACAGUGCUUUCUUCAAUACAGACGAUCAAGGUGUCCCAGUGGCCCAGAGGACAGCGCGCUGAGCUGGUACCACUCAUCUCCUGGGUGAUGGAGACACAAAGCAACAAAAAGCCAACAGGGAGACAAUUCAACUUUUCCAUCUGUCAGCCAUGACCUAUCCACUGCUGGAUGAAGAGCUCACCAAGCCGUGGCCAUCUGUAAUGGUCUCACAAAACAACAAUAUAUCUAACUCCUGCAGACGAGGUUAUUUUAUUGCUACAUCUCCAUGGUAGUCACUCUUGGACGUGUGCUGGUCUUUUGCUGAAACUCUGUUGUUAGUCUCAAUCAUUCUUUAUUAUUAUUUACAGUAACACGUUCUUUGCCAAGCCCACUUUUGUUAGCAGCCAAAGUUGUGACUUUAACUUGCGUGUGUUCGCUAAUCCAUGUUUUCCUCAUUCCGUCUCGGUUUCCAAGCAUGCAUCUCAACCAUGUUUUAUUGCACACUUUUCAGCUUUUUGCUUUUUCUUUGUCAACGAAUGAUUCCAAUCCAUGUCACCGCAAACACAAAUGCACGCUUAAAAGAUUCUACAUGCACGUUGCUUUGUUGCUUUGCAUGAUUAAGUUCAGUUUCUAAAAGCACUUCAACCUGCUCCCAUCUGCCUCUUUACUUCAUCCAUUUGAUGCUAGUCCACCGAUAAUAACGUUCAUAGGUAACAAAAAAUAUUCUGUCUUCUCCAGUUGGGUCCCUCCAACUGAUAUCCACAACUGUUUUAGGAAACUUGUUAUAGGUGACUUUAGUUUUGCUCAUUGUUUUUCGGAGCCCAAAUGUUCAUUCUUUUAUGAACAAUGAUAAUAAUGAUAAUUAAAAUGUGUAAUAUGCCACAAAGUAUUCACUCACUUUCGAAGAGAGAAUGACUCAGAGGCGAGAGAGAGAGAAAAAAAUCACAGAUGAGCGAGAAAUACAGCAAGACAGUGAACCGACAGAAAACUUCUACUCCCUCCCCCCCCCCAAGGUCUGCCAUCCUCUACAUAUGAAGAUGUUAUCGGCAAAUUGAGUGUUUACAUGGAUAAAACCCACGUGUGCAUGGAGGCGAUACUAAUGCAUACAGAUAGAAAAGGUGAAGUCCACAUUUGCUGGAACGCCUUCUCCUGAAAACCCAGAGUAUGGCCCCUUGCUCACAGGGAGUUCCACACCGUUUGUGUGAUUGACCAACCCUCACCUCCAAAAUGCUCGAUUGCAGGCAUGCAUCACCCCCAAUGAAUGUCUUAUAUCAUAUCCUGCAGUUCAUUCUGAUUGUGCAGUUUUCAUUUGUUUGGUGAAAGCUGCAACAUAAAGAUAAAGGAAAACUCGUGUAAAACAAGUUCCCAAAACUGCUCCAUACCCUUUGACAAAAGCAAGUUAGAUAGCCCGAGGCAGUUGGAAAUAAGGAUAUAAGCCCAUGCCCAGACACUGCUGGCCUGGUGACCAAAAGCAGUCAGAAAUGAAAUGGUUUCACAGUUCACACACAUCCAACAGCAUUAAAAACAAACAAAAAGUAUGGUAACUAUACGUAGCUCACGAAACAGCUGGCUGUAGCAGCAUAGAAUGACAUUGUCAGGGCUUUGUAUUAUUUAUGAUUGUGAAUAAGGGCAACAACAGCAGUGAUGAAAGUGACAUGCAAGUGACAUGCCCAGCUUGUCUGAAAGACAACAAAGCAUGCACAUAAAAGCGUAAAUCGUCAAAUUACAGAUGUACAGAUACAUAAUGUUUAACAACUAUGUGUUUACUAAGCCGCCAUGGUAAAACAAAAUGGCAACAGAGAUGAUAUACUGUAUUGUACCAUUUGAUGUGGGAGUGGGUGCUGGGGGUCGAUCCUUUUAUCCAUCUGUUUUUUUUAAUUCGAGGUAAAACAUUUAGAAUCGCAUGCAAUAACCGCAUCGCCAAACCGAUUCUGCGCAAUGUAUUCGUGCAAAGGCUUGGAUAGCAAGACCGUUCAUAUUGUGCGCGUCGAUUAGGGAGCACAUAUAGUAGAAAUCCUGGUUAAUAGGCAUACAAGAGAAAUUUUUACUGGAAUGAGCUUCUAGGAGAAUCCCAAUGGGAUGGAGUGAUGAAACUAUCUCGCGUCCAGGCGCGAGGUGGAUUAUUUCAUCGCAAGAUUGCGAGAGGUGGUGACGGCUUUUAUCCAGCAGUGGAUUGAUCAUGGCGGAAGCUUGUUAUUGCUGCAGACUUUGUGGUGUGAGACUUGUAGAGUUGUUGCUGCUUACGUACUACUAUUCUUUUUUGCAGGAAACAUUCUUAGGAAAAUGUUUAUUUUUGCAUUAAUGUUCAAACAAAACAAAUUGCACCAUGUUAUGUAAAUAAUUAGUAUAUAUUUUCAAAAUGGUGGGUGAAACUAUAGUGAAUAUUGAAUUUGUUUUUCAAUGCACAUGUGUUAAAUCGUUUUAAUGAAUUAAAAUGUCUUGCAUCAGGUCGACGUGGGCGUUAAAAUGUUAAAAGCUCUACACACAUCAAGGAAAAACAUCGCUGUUUUUUUUGCUUAAUCUGUAUCAAAAUUCGAAAUCAAAUGCCUCCCAUGUUAAGUUACCAAAUGGAGCAGUGGCUCACAUCCGUUUAUGGCCCAAACUAAGCGGUAUAAAUUCCACAUUCCCAUGGCUGAAGCCAAUCACCACGAUGUACGACCACUGUUUACUGCUUACAAAGUCAGAACGAGUGAUGUUCCUGAAAAAAGAUAUAAAUUUCUAAAUAAAGUCAACAUCUAGAAACAAAACAUGUUAGUAAACGUACGUUCUGUUUUGGGCAUUUAAAAUAUAUGUUAAAUGCAAUUAACCACUGACACCUAGUGUUGGAAUGAAGUGCUACAAUGUAAAAAAAAACGGCGUAGUCUUCCCAUAACCCUCCUGUUCAUAUAGCACUGUAUUGAAAAUCAUCGCAACUAUGGCCAAUUCCGUUUAAAUUUUGUAUCGGGGUUACCAUCUCCGAACUACAAAAACCGGAACGUAAUGCAAAUCCGAAUAGCGGGAGUAAUCUUAUGCAAGUGACAGCUAUCUCAAAAGUGGAUGGCAAUGCUGGGGGAAACCGGGAUAGAUUACAUCCCUUGGCCACGUAUUGGGACAGCAAGCAAUUAUGUUGCGGUUCGUUUAAAAAUUCUUACGAAUUGGACUCUACAAUAACGACGCAUGUAUAACGCUGCACGAUGACGUUUAAAUGUCUUUGCAUGAAAAUAAUUAACAGAAUGGUUUUUCAAUGUGAAUGGUCAAUAAUUAUCAUGAUUUAAUCCCAACCAGAUGGAUGGCUUUGUUUUUAAAUGUAUUUUUCAUUGAGAUGUAAUUGAUGUACUUGAUUAAAAAACACUUCAAUUAAUAUUCCUUAA